rnacentral:rRNA from 1 species
UACGUAGGGGGCUAGCGUUGUCCGGAAUCAUUGGGCUUCAAGCGCGCGUAGGCGGCCCGAUAAGUCCGGUGUGAAAGCCACAGGCUCAACCUGUGAAUGCCGCUGGAAACUGUCUGGCUAGAGUCCGGGAGGGGCGAGUGGAAUUCCUGGUGUAGCGGUGAAAUGCGCAGAUAUCAGGAGGAACACCGGUGGCGAAGGCGCCACUCUGGGCCGAAACUGACGCUGAGGAGCGAAAGCGUGGGUAGCAAACAGG